UGCGGCUGGAUCACCUCCUUUCAAGGAUGUUUCCUGACACGUUGGGAAACGCCGACAAAAAGACCUGCAUUGGAUCAGUGCAGGCAACGGAUGGCCUCAGGGCGCCGUCAACAUAUCCCUUCCUGUAAUGUUUUGGGCUAGUAGCUCAGUUGGUUAGAGCACACGCUUGAUAAGCGUGGGGUCGGAGGUUCAAGUCCUCCCUGGCCCACCACGACUGUGGUGGUUUCUAGACCUGGGGGCGUAGCUCAGCUGGGAGAGCACCUGCUUUGCAAGCAGGGGGUCGUCGGUUCGAUCCCGUCCGCCUCCACCAGAAACCACACCGAUACACGCUGCUUGGCGAAAGCUUUGAGCGGCAUGAUGGUGCGAUAACAUUACAGGUUAAGGGAAAAAUGUUUCCUCCCUGCCGCACUUUGGUGCGGGAGCGAUGAAAAAGUCUGUUCUUUGUCAGUGUGAAUAGGUUGGUGCACUUUCUGGGUGCUGCCACGAUCCGGGUUGGUCUGACCCAUGUGGAUCGGUUUUGGGUUUCCUGGACUUUGGUCCAAGAGGCUCUGAUCCGGUCUCGUGUUUAAGGAUUGUGGCGUAUAGCGGUCAGAGAGUGUUUUAUAAGUAUGAUGAACUUUGCGUGCGAAGCAUUGCAUUUUCUCUGCGCAGAAAACUCUGAAGCGCGCGAGCGUGGAUGGUUGCUGUGCAUGUGUAGUGUGUGAGCAUGAGAAGGGCAUUCGGUGGAUGCCUUGGCAUC
rnacentral:tRNA from 1 species